rnacentral:rRNA from 1 species
UACAGAGGGUGCAAGCGUUAAUCAGAUUUACUGGGCGUAAAGCGUAUGUAGGCGGCUAAGUAAGUCAGGCGUGCAAGCCCGUGGCUCAACCACGGAAUUGCGUUUGAUACUGCAUAGCUUGAGUACAGGAGAGGAAAGCGGAAUUCCCAGUGUAGCGGUGAAAUGCAUUGAUAUUUGGAAGAACAUCUGUGGCGAAGGCGGCUUUCUGGUCUGUUACUGACGCUGAGAUACGAAAGCCAGGGUAGCGAACGGG